GGUCGUUGUCGGAGUGUUUAACCUUGUCAGCCUGCUACAGCGGUUUCCUAAACCGAAGGUCAGGGGUUCGAAUCCCUUCGGGACCGCCA
rnacentral:tRNA from 1 species